rnacentral:lncRNA from 10 species
GUACGUGGGCGGGCGGAUCGUGGUGGCUGCGCUUGCGAGGACCCUGAGGUAGAUUGGGUGGUUUCAACAGGAACGCAUCCACUGUCUGAGAGUUUAAACUUGAUUUUGUGAGGGGACGAACAGCGUGACAAUUAAAAGAAGAUCUGGGAAUCAAAAGCUUCCUGAGGCCUUCACCAGAAGCAGAUGCUGGUGCCGUGCUUCUACAGCCUGCAGAACUAAGAGAAGACAUGGAGAAGAGGAGGGAGUAGUUGUGACCGUGGAGGCAGAGAAUGGAGUAAUGUGAUCAUAAAUCAAGGAAUGCUGACAGCCACUAAAGCUGGAGAAGGCCAAGGACAGAUAUUCAAUCCUCCCGUAGAAGUACAGCCCUGCUAAUGCAUUGAUUUUGGACUUCUGGCCUCAGAACUGUCUGGAAAGCAUGGAAAUUUGUAUCUUCAUUCACUUUUGUUUUCAUGGACUCUUUUCAUGUUUGAACUUUUCAUGAUCCAAUGUGAUAAUUUAUGUGAAAUCUUUCUGCAAACUAUACAGUAUGAUAAAAAUAUAAGGUAGUUUCACUGGAAACAACAGAAGACUAGAAGCUGAUGUGACGUGGCAAUAUCAACCAGGAAUACCCAUCUCGAGUUCUGGAUAUGUGCUCUGAGAAGGUGCCCAUGUCACCGACCACACUGGAGGCCAAUGCAGAUACUGGGGGAAGGUUCCAUGGUAGCUAAGUGUGGACAAGCUAAUCACUGAAGUUCCCUGAUGCAGAGUUGAUAAUCUCUCUAGAGUUGGAUGAAAGACUGUGCUGCCUUGAAGCUCUGAGAGAUGCCAUGCCAAUUCAAGGCAGGGUCUUUAUUGUUGAAACUCUUGCGUAAUGACAUCUUUAUUCAGGUGAAAAUACAGGAUGAAUUUCAACUAUAUGAUAUUGUUUAUGUUCCUCAGACAUGUUAUUUGUCUUUACAAAGAUUGGUUUCAAUAAACUGUGUGACUGAUAUUAAAUAAACAUGGAAUUUUACACAUUCAUAAUAUUUGGUUUCUUGUGAUUUUGAUGAACUAUACUUUCAAGCAUUGUCAGUUCAUCCUCAUUUACAAGGAAACAUUUGCUGUAGCAGAGUGAUGUAGUGACUUGCUUUACUUAAGAUAAGUCAACUUUUCUAUUCAAUGUUUAAUGUGAAACUGACUUAAAAAUUUUCUUUUAGGCCACAUUUACAUUUCUGUUUGUAUAACAUGCAUUAUACUAUUUUAACUUAAUACUAUGGCUAUAUAAACCAAAGACAUCCUAAUUCUGUUUUUAAUUUAUUGUUUUGCAAGAUAAAUAAUUUUUAAUGCACUAAUGAAGCUAAGGAGUUCAUAUUAAAAGACAUGUUAUAUGACCUACUGAAGUUGAGCUAUG